UGGGGAAUUUUGGACGAAUUGGGCGAAAGCCUGAUCCGCAAUGCCGCGUGUGUGAAGAAGGCCUUCGGGUUGUAAAGCACUUUUGUCCGGAAAGAAAUCCUUGGCUCUAAUACAGUCGGGGGAUGACGGUACCGGAAGAAUAAGCACCGGCUAACUACGUGCCAGCAGCCGCGGUAAUACGUAGGGUGCAAGCGUUAAUCGGAAUUACUGGGCGUAAAGCGUGCGCAGGCGGUUUGCUAAGACCGAUGUGAAAUCCCCGGGCUCAACCUGGGAACUGCAUUGGUGACUGGCAGGCUAGAGUAUGGCAGAGGGGGGUAGAAUUCCACGUGUAGCAGUGAAAUGCGUAGAGAUGUGGAGGAAUACCGAUGGCGAAGGCAGCCCCCUGGCAGUACUGACGCUCAUGCACG
rnacentral:rRNA from 1 species